CACCUAGCGGCGGACGGGUGAGUAAUGCUUAGGAAUCUGCCUAUUAGUGGGGGACAACAUCUCGAAAGGGAUGCUAAUACCGCAUACGUCCUACGGGAGAAAGCAGGGGACCUUCGGGCCUUGCGCUAAUAGAUGAGCCUAAGUCGGAUUAGCUAGUUGGUGGGGUAAAGGCCUACCAAGGCGACGAUCUGUAGCGGGUCUGAGAGGAUGAUCCGCCACACUGGGACUGAGACACGGCCCAGACUCCUACGGGAGGCAGCAGUGGGGAAUAUUGGACAAUGGGGGGAACCCUGAUCCAGCCAUGCCGCGUGUGUGAAGAAGGCCUUUUGGUUGUAAAGCACUUUAAGCGAGGAGGAGGCUACCGAGAUUAAUACUCUUGGAUAGUGGACGUUACUCGCAGAAUAAGCACCGGCUAACUCUGUGCCAGCAGCCGCGGUAAUACAGAGGGUGCAAGCGUUAAUCGGAUUUACUGGGCGUAAAGCGCGCGUAGGUGGCCAAUUAAGUCAAAUGUGAAAUCCCCGAGCUUAACUUGGGAAUUGCAUUCGAUACUGGUUGGCUAGAGUAUGGGAGAGGAUGGUAGAAUUCCAGGUGUAGCGGUGAAAUGCGUAGAGAUCUGGAGGAAUACCGAUGGCGAAGGCAGCCAUCUGGCCUAAUACUGACACUGAGGUGCGAAAGCAUGGGGAGCAAACAGGAUUAGAUACCCUGGUAGUCCAUGCCGUAAACGAUGUCUACUAGCCGUUGGGGCCUUUGAGGCUUUAGUGGCGCAGCUAACGCGAUAAGUAGACCGCCUGGGGAGUACGG
rnacentral:rRNA from 1 species